UUCCAGACUCCUACGGGAGGCAGCAGUGAGGAAUAUUGGUCAAUGGGCGAGAGCCUGAACCAGCCAAGUCGCGUGAGGGAGUACUGCCCUAUGGGUUGUAAACCUCUUUUGUCGGGGAGCAAAAGCCGGACAUGUCCGUCUGUGAGAGUACCCGAAGAAAAAGCAUCGGCUAACUCCGUGCCAGCAGCCGCGGUAAUACGGAGGAUGCGAGCGUUAUCCGGAUUUAUUGGGUUUAAAGGGUGCGUAGGCGGAAUGCCAAGUCAGCGGUAAAAUCGCGGGGCUCAACCUCGCUCCGCCGUUGAAACUGGCGUUCUUGAGUGGGCGAGAAGUAUGCGGAAUGCGUGGUGUAGCGGUGAAAUGCAUAGAUAUCACGCAGAACUCCGAUUGCGAAGGCAGCCUUCCGGCGCCCUACUGACGCUGAGGCACGAAAGUGCGGGGAUCGAACAGGAUUAGAUACCCCCGUA
rnacentral:rRNA from 1 species